rnacentral:rRNA from 1 species
AGCGAACGCUGGCGGCAGGCUUAACACAUGCAAGUCGAACGCCCCGCAAGGGGAGUGGCAGACGGGUGAGUAACACGUGGGAACGUACCCUUUGGUUCGGAAUAACUUGGGGAAACUCAAGCUAAUACCGGAUAAGCCCUUAUGGGGAAAGGUUUACUGCCGAAGGAUCGGCCCGCGUCUGAUUAGCUAGUUGGUGAGGUAAUGGCUCACCAAGGCGACGAUCAGUAGCUGGUCUGAGAGGAUGAUCAGCCACACUGGGACUGAGACACGGCCCAGGCUCAUACGGGGUGCAGCAGUGGGAAAUAUUGGACGAUGGGGGCAACCUUGAUCCAGCCAUGCCGCGGGAGUGAUGAAGGCCUUAGGGUUGUAAAGCUCUUUUACCCGGGACGAUAAUGACUGUACCGGGAGAAUAAGCCCCGGCUAACUUCGUGCCAGCCGCCGCCGUAA